CCCACUAGUCUCCCUCUCGCCUCCCAUGUGGUCCAGGAACCCUGGGCUGGGGAUCACGCUGUAGGAGGCAAGGGUCUACUUUUGUUCCAUCCACACCCCCAGUACCUGAACGUGCCUGGCCCACAGCUGGGGCCCAACGCAAACUUGCUGAAUGAAUGAAUGAGCUAUAACCUAAAGAAGUCGGGAGUCUUGGGGAAGGCAGACAUGAAGAUGAGUAACCUGCAAAAGAAAAUGCAAGGGGUCUGAGAAAUCCAGAUAAUUCAGCUCAAGGUUGAAGGAGGGGCUGUAGGCAUUCUGUCCCCUCGCCCUCACCCUGGACGCCAUGGACAACCUCUGGGAGCUGGGACCUCAUCCGUGUGCUCCGAAGCUGAUCACAGAGGGAAGGAGGCGGGUUAGAAUCUGAAGGUGAUCAGAAACCGGACUGGGGAUGCAAGGAGCUUGGUGAUGCCGACCACCGGCUGGCCCCGCUGAGAACCUGAGGCACCCUCAGAGAAGAGAGACUUGAGGGGGCGAGAAGGCAAGGCAGGAACACAGAAAGAAAAAUAGGAUUGGGGAGAGGAAGG
ensembl:lncRNA